rnacentral:snoRNA from 1 species
AAAAAAGCAGGGUCUUGUUGCCUUUCGUGAACGAGGCUCUCGUACACUUCAGGAAAAUUACUUGCAUUGUUAUUGGGUGAACCUCUGUUUUCAUGUGGUGACUGAAGGUUCAGUAAAUGAUGCCACAUUU